rnacentral:ncRNA from 1 species
AUAAAAUAGAAUCUCCGAGCCGUUGCGCCUGAGGGGAUGCCUCCCCAUGGCAUGCGGCCAAUGGGUACAGUUGGAAACGGCUGUGCCUCCCGGUAUGGAAAGGAGACCUCAAGGCUCGGUC